rnacentral:tRNA from 1 species
UGGAGAUGUAGCUCAGUGGUUGAGCACUUGCCUAGCAUGCACAAGGCUUGGGUUUGAUUCCCUAGCACUGCAA